UGGUGGAGCGAUUUGUCUGGUUAAUUCCGAUAACGAACGAGACUCUGGCCUAUUAAAUAGUUCGCCGAUUCCGAUCUGUCGGCGUUAACUUCUUAGAGGGACAAGCGGCUUUUAGCCACGCGAGAUUGAGCAAUAACA
rnacentral:rRNA from 1 species